GAUGAAGAACGCAGCGAAAUGCGAUACGUAAUGUGAAUUGCAGAAUUCAGUGAAUCAUCGAAUCUUUGAACGCACAUUGCGCCUGCCAGCACUCUGGCAGGCAUGCCUGUUCGAGCGUCAUUUCAACCAUCAAGCCCUAGGCUUGCGUUGGAGCCCUGCGGCUGCCGCAGGCCCCUAAAAGCAGUGGCGGGCUCGCUAUCACACCGAGUGCAGUAGAUUACUCUUCGCUCAGGGCGUGUGGCGGGUUCCAGCCGUGAAACCCCCUACUUCUCAAGGUUGACCUCGGAUCAGGUAGGAAUACCCGCUGAACUUAAGCAUAUUAAUAAGCGGAGGA
rnacentral:misc_RNA from 1 species